rnacentral:rRNA from 1 species
AGCGUACACGGUGGAUGCCCUGGCAGUCAGAGGCGAUGAAGGACGUGCUAAUCUGCGAUAAGCGUCGGUGAGGUGAUAUGAACCGUUAUAACCGGCGAUUUCCGAAUGGGGAAACCCAGUGUGUUUCGACACACUAUCAUUAACUGAAUCCAUAGGUUAAUGAGGCGAACCGGGGGAACUGAAACAUCUAAGUACCCCGAGGAAAAGAAAUCAACCGAGAUUCCCCCAGUAGCGGCGAGCGAACGGGGAGGAGCCCAGAGCCUGAAUCAGUGUGUGUGUUAGUGGAAGCGUCUGGAAAGGCGUGCGAUACAGGGUGACAGCCCCGUACACAAAAAUGCACAUAUUGUGAGCUCGAUGAGUAGGGCGGGACACGUGGUAUCCUGUCUGAAUAUGGGGGGACCAUCCUCCAAGGCUAAAUACUCCUGACUGACCGAUAGUGAACCAGUACCGUGAGGGAAAGGCGAAAAGAACCCCGGCGAGGGGAGUGAAAAAGAACCUGAAACCGUGUACGUACAAGCAGUGGGAGCCUCUUAAUGGGGUGACUGCGUACCUUUUGUAUAAUGGGUCAGCGACUUAUAUUCUGUAGCAAGGUUAACCGAAUAGGGGAGCCGAAGGGAAACCGAGUCUUAACUGGGCGUUAAGUUGCAGGGUAUAGACCCGAAACCCGGUGAUCUAGCCAUGGGCAGGUUGAAGGUUGGGUAACACUAACUGGAGGACCGAACCGACUAAUGUUGAAAAAUUAGCGGAUGACUUGUGGCUGGGGGUGAAAGGCCAAUCAAACCGGGAGAUAGCUGGUUCUCCCCGAAAGCUAUUUAGGUAGCGCCUCGUGAAUUCAUCUCCGGGGGUAGAGCACUGUUUCGGCAAGGGGGUCAUCCCGACUUACCAACCCGAUGCAAACUGCGAAUACCGGAGAAUGUUAUCACGGGAGACACACGGCGGGUGCUAACGUCCGUCGUGAAGAGGGAAACAACCCAGACCGCCAGCUAAGGUCCCAAAGUCAUGGUUAAGUGGGAAACGAUGUGGGAAGGCCCAGACAGCCAGGAUGUUGGCUUAGAAGCAGCCAUCAUUUAAAGAAAGCGUAAUAGCUCACUGGUCGAGUCGGCCUGCGCGGAAGAUGUAACGGGGCUAAACCAUGCACCGAAGCUGCGGCAGCGACACUAUGUGUUGUUGGGUAGGGGAGCGUUCUGUAAGCCUGUGAAGGUGGCCUGUGAGGGUUGCUGGAGGUAUCAGAAGUGCGAAUGCUGACAUAAGUAACGAUAAAGCGGGUGAAAAGCCCGCUCGCCGGAAGACCAAGGGUUCCUGUCCAACGUUAAUCGGGGCAGGGUGAGUCGACCCCUAAGGCGAGGCCGAAAGGCGUAGUCGAUGGGAAACAGGUUAAUAUUCCUGUACUUGGUGUUACUGCGAAGGGGGGACGGAGAAGGCUAUGUUGGCCGGGCGACGGUUGUCCCGGUUUAAGCGUGUAGGCUGGUUUUCCAGGCAAAUCCGGAAAACCAAGGCUGAGGCGUGAUGACGAGGCACUACGGUGCUGAAGCGACAAAUGCCCUGCUUCCAGGAAAAGCCUCUAAGCAUCAGGUAACAUCAAAUCGUACCCCAAACCGACACAGGUGGUCAGGUAGAGAAUACCAAGGCGCUUGAGAGAACUCGGGUGAAGGAACUAGGCAAAAUGGUGCCGUAACUUCGGGAGAAGGCACGCUGAUAUGUAGGUGAAGCGACUUGCUCGUGGAGCUGAAAUCAGUCGAAGAUACCAGCUGGCUGCAACUGUUUAUUAAAAACACAGCACUGUGCAAACACGAAAGUGGACGUAUACGGUGUGACGCCUGCCCGGUGCCGGAAGGUUAAUUGAUGGGGUUAGCAGUAACGCGAAGCUCUUGAUCGAAGCCCCGGUAAACGGCGGCCGUAACUAUAACGGUCCUAAGGUAGCGAAAUUCCUUGUCGGGUAAGUUCCGACCUGCACGAAUGGCGUAAUGAUGGCCAGGCUGUCUCCACCCGAGACUCAGUGAAAUUGAACUCGCUGUGAAGAUGCAGUGUACCCGCGGCAAGACGGAAAGACCCCGUGAACCUUUACUAUAGCUUGACACUGAACAUUGAGCCUUGAUGUGUAGGAUAGGUGGGAGGCUUUGAAGUGUGGACGCCAGUCUGCAUGGAGCCGGCCUUGAAAUACCACCCUUUAAUGUUUGAUGUUCUAACGUUGGCCCGUAAUCCGGGUUGCGGACAGUGUCUGGUGGGUAGUUUGACUGGGGCGGUCUCCUCCUAAAGAGUAACGGAGGAGCACGAAGGUUGGCUAAUCCUGGUCGGACAUCAGGAGGUUAGUGCAAUGGCAUAAGCCAGCUUGACUGCGAGCGUGACGGCGCGAGCAGGUGCGAAAGCAGGUCAUAGUGAUCCGGUGGUUCUGAAUGGAAGGGCCAUCGCUCAACGGAUAAAAGGUACUCCGGGGAUAACAGGCUGAUACCGCCCAAGAGUUCAUAUCGACGGCGGUGUUUGGCACCUCGAUGUCGGCUCAUCACAUCCUGGGGCUGAAGUAGGUCCCAAGGGUAUGGCUGUUCGCCAUUUAAAGUGGUACGCGAGCUGGGUUUAGAACGUCGUGAGACAGUUCGGUCCCUAUCUGCCGUGGGCGCUGGAGAACUGAGGGGGGCUGCUCCUAGUACGAGAGGACCGGAGUGGACGCAUCACUGGUGUUCGGGUUGUCAUGCCAAUGGCACUGCCCGGUAGCUAAAUGCGGAAGAGAUAAGUGCUGAAAGCAUCUAAGCACGAAACUUGCCCCGAGAUGAGUUCU